UUGAUCAGUGUGAAUGUACUCACAAUUUAUUAGUAAUAAGCAUUCUUUGAAACUCUUUUACUUUUCUAAACCUAGACACAUCAGGGUUGUAUUCAUAAGGCAGAAAAUGGUAAAAAAUUGACUGAAACAGGGAGGGAUUGCCUGAACUUGUCCAAUAGAAAUUCCCUUACUGAGAAAGCAGGCUUCUGGCAAAUAGUUGUGGCAAAUCUUUGGCCAAAUUGCCACAUUUGUGGCCAGCUCAUAUUUUAAAAUUAAAUUAAAUUUGCAGCGACUUGUGAAAUUCUGGAAAACAAUUACUGGGAAAGUUGUGGCGAACAUUAUGUUUGCUGCAAAUUUGCUUCAAACUGAUUAUGAAAAUGCAAAUUGAAACAGGUUUUUGAUUACUUUGUGUAUUAACAACAUUGAAAUGUAUAUGCGAUUUGGUUUGUGUCGAUACAUUUAAAGGAACUUCCUUCUCCCAGAGAACUAAACAUACUAAACGUACUACAGGUCCUUCAGAAAGUAUUCCCACCCCUUUACUUUUUACACAUGUUGUUGUUACAAAGUGGGAUUCAAUUUGAUUUAAUAUUUUAUUUUCAUUUUUUUUUUUUCAAUCUACACAAAAUACUUUAAUGUCAAAGUGGAAGAAAGUCACAUUUAUAAAAAAAAAACAUGACGUAAAACCCUAAUACUGCUUAUCUUGAUUAGAUAAGUAUUCAACCCCCUGAGUCCAUACAUGCUAGAAUUACCUUCAGCAGCGAUUACAGCUGUGAGUCUUUCUGGGUAAACUAGCCAGUCAGUGGUGCUGACAGAUUGAAACUGAUCUAGCUAGCAACAAAAUGUGUUUCACACUAUCCCAUAAAACAUGACAUGCUUACCGGCCAUCAAUUAGCUUACACAAUUAGGACGUUUUAAGUUAAAACACUCACUUGACAACUUCGGUAGCUAGUUAGCAUUUUCCACCCGGUUUGAGCUCAAUGUGUUUACCAGUAGGGAUGAAACGGUUACCGGUUUCACGAUAAACCACUGUAAAAAUUGACGGUUAGUAUUACCGUUUCAAAUUUGAAUUAUCAUUAAAACCGUGUUUGAUUACCACCGUUUGAAAAACUCAUAUGGUAAAUACUGUCCAGCAUCAACCAAAGUUAGCAACAGUCUGGCGCAGCAUGCAGCGUGGGUUUUGUUUUGUGUGAAAACAUGCCGGAAGGCAGUGACAGCGCUCGGGAGAUUUUUCAGCCUUCUAAGAGGACCAAAUCUGAAGUAUGGUCGUAUUUUGGGUUUUACAAGAGUGCUGAGGGAAACCUAAUCGAAGAUGGUCACCCUGUCUGCAGAACAUGCAGCAAAAAGAAAUAGCUGCGAAAGGGGGCAACACUUCAAAUCUCUUGAGUCAUCUUCGUGAUCACCACCCGCUACUUUAUAGCGAAUGCAAGAGUGGAUGUGCAGCAGGCAAACCCAGCGAUGCUACUGGUCCCUCAUCUACAGUUGUGAACUUGUGACACAGACACUGAGCAAGCGUUUAAAAGGCAGGCUGCUUAUGCACCCACGUCAAAAAAUGCUCAGGACCUCACUGCAGCCCUUUUCAUAUUACAUUGCAAAGGUCAUGAUGCCAUUUCAAAUUGUUGAGAGGCCUGGCUUUCUGAGGCUGAUUAAGGUUGCCGUGCCUCGCUACAAAGUGCCAUCACAAACAUUUUCCAAGACUGAAAUCCCAAACCUGUACAACCAGGUUAAAGCUGAUGUUGGAAAAAGACCUCUGGACCAGUGAAAGCAGGAGUGGUUCAACCCUACAUCAGCUUCACUAUCCAUUACUUCACCCCAGACUGGCAACUGGAAUCAAACUGCCUGGAAACACAGUUCUUCCCAGAAGAUCACUCGGCUCACAACAGAGUUUUUGAGAAUAUGCCGGGAGAGUGGGGGGUCAACAAGAAAGACCUGGCCUGCAUAACCACAGUCAACGCAUCAAACAUGAUCAAGACUUUUGAAGAGUUCCCAGAUCUGUGGCUUGGGUGCUUUGAACCUGGCCACCUCAAAGGCUCUGAAAAUUCAGAGCGUUGACACAGCAGCCAAGGCCUGCCGUCAUCUGGUCCAAGGCUUCUCACGGAGCUGGAAGAGAAGGAGAGAACUGAGAGAAAAGCAAGCUGCCCUCAACAUGCCACAGAAGGCUCUGAUCCAUGAUGUGGUGACCCGAUGGGGGAUCUACACACAAGAUGCGUGAGCGUUUCCUCAGCCAACAGCCAGUCUGUGUGACACUGGCUAGAGAACGAGGAACACGGAAUCUGAUGCCCAAGGAUGCCGACAUAAGUGUCAUGGACCAUCUGUGCCAGCUGCUUAAACCUCUGAGAAAGUUUUUAUAGAUGCACUUGCCUCAGCGACACGAGUGACACUGUCAGCCAUCAAACCUGUCCUGGACCACGUCACCUGUGAUGUUCUGGUGGAAAAGGAUACGGAGCCAUCCCUGACCAAGGAGAUGAAAAGGGAGAGAGAAGACCUUAACAACAGACACACAGAGAAGGCAAAGAGUCAUGCACAUGGCUUGUUUCAUUGACCCCAACUUCAAUAGGAGCUUUUUAGAUUAUCCUAAGGCAGCAGAGUGGGGAAGAGGGUCAGAUUCUGACCACCCCAGAAGACAGAGUGAAAGAAUAGAUCAAGGUCUACCUGUCUCUGCCACCCAUUCCGGCAGAAGAGGAUCCACUGGUGUGGUGGAGGGGCCAUGCAUCAGAGCUGCCUCACCUUGCCAGGGUUGCCAGGAAGCUUUUCUGCAUCUCAGCAACCAACGUGCCAUCAGUGUUCAGUGCCAGCGGGCACAUUGUCUCCCCUCGCAGAUCACUACUUAAACCGGACCAAGUAAAUAUGCUGACAUUUUUACAUUUCAAUCUCAAGUAAGCAAAGGAUGUCCAGGAUGUUAGGCCAGCAGCACCUUAUUUCGUUAUGAAGGAGAGAACGGACAAUCAAUCACUAUUGUUCAUUUGAUUUGUUUAUAUAUUUAGUGUUAUUUUGAUGUCAACACAUGCACAUUAGAUUUGUUUACAUAUGGUUGUAUUGUUCUUACAUGCACGUUGGAUUUGUUUACAUAUGGUUGUAUUGUUCUUAAAUGCACGUUGGAUUUGUUUACAUAUGGUUGUAUUGUUCUUAAAUGCACGUUGGAUUUGUUUACAUAUGGUUGUAUUGUUCUUAAAUGCACGUUGCUUUACUUGUGUUGCUUUUAUAUGCACAUUUGAUUUACUUAAGGUUGUGUUCAUUUAAACCUGCACUGGGGAAACUUGUACCUCUCAUGGCCACAUGGUGCCAUAUUUAAUGCUAUUAUUUUAAUGUUUAUGCACUCAAAGUGCAUAGUCCUGCUAAUUUUGUUUGUUAGUUUUCAAUAUAAAACUUGGUGAACUGA